CGGUCCGCCGCCCCUCAAAGUCGCUUCCAUUCGCUCCCGCCCGCCGCCGAGGCACACAAGCGUGCCCGUACACAGAAGCUGAAAACCCUCACAAGCGGAGAUUUAGAGACAAGUGUCAAGCAUCGAUCGCAGCAGCAGCCGACAUGAACAUACCCCUCAACACGGUCAAGGUGCUGCGCAAUGUGCCUCUUCCUGAUGAGGCGAGCGUGCUCCACACGAACGCCGCGGUGCUGGACAUGGGCAGUCACACGACGCGGCUCGGGUUUGCAGGGGACACGGUGCCGCGCAUGCGGCAGCGCACAUGCGUCGUGAAGGGCAAAGCAACCUUCUCGGACGCCUGUGAUGUGCUGGACCACGUCGAUGACCCCGCCGCUGCGACGACGGUGCUGGAGAACGGCGUCAUUGUAGACUGGGAGGGGUACGAGGAGCUCCUGAGCCGCGUCGCCCGGAUACUGGACCUCGAGAACGUAGAGAACAGCACCCCGCUGCUGGUAACGGAGAAGGCGCUCGUGCCUACGCAUCAGCGGCAGAAGAUCGCCGAGGUCCUCUUCGAGACCCACCACGUCGUCGCCACCAGCUUUGCCUUGAGCCCGGUGCUGUCCCUCUACGCGUCCGGGCUGGGCACCGGCUUAGCCGUGGAACUGGGCCACGAUCAGAGCCACGUCGCGCCAGUCUUCCAAGGGCUUUCGCUGUUUCACGCAACGCACUGCCUCGACGUUGGCGGCGCGGACCUCACCCGGCACUUCACCUCUCUCAUGUCUGGCGUAGCGACCACGCACGUGUCGGUGCUGGGGAGCAUGACACCAACACAGCGAGAAAGCAUGUGGGAAUACAUCAAGGAGCGCCACUGCACCGUGGCCGAGGACGCGCAGGCCUUUUCUGAGAUCAGCCGUGUCGGCAUUGGGAUGGGCAGCCCCAGCAGUGGCUCGCCGCCGGGAAGCCCGCACGGCGAAGAGGAUCGGUACCGGGAGGAGUGCGUACUGCCCGACGGCACCGCUCUGCCCAUCAGCGGCGCCGCUCGGUUCAUCCCCGGCGAAUGCUACUUCCAGCCAUCCCUUUCCCCGGCGCUGCAGCAACUGCGCGACCAGUCCACCGUUGUCGAUGAGGUGUUGCUGCGCACGACACAAACGCCAGUGUCUAUCCCCGAGCUAGUCGUGGACGCCAUGGAGCGCUGCGAUCAUGACCUGCUGCCCACGUUCGCUUCCCAUAUCGUCGUUAGCGGCGGUGCCUCGCUGUUGCGCGGACUGACGCAGCGCGUGGAGUCUGACGUGCAAACCUGCCUGGCCAGCACCGGCGGCAUCCACAGCGUCGGUAGCGCACGCGUGUACGCGGAUGUCGAGCGGCGCGAUGCCGCCUUUGUGGGUGGCUCUAUCUGGGCAUCGCUGCCGGCGGCGCAGGCGUUGUGGGUGACGAAGGCCGACUACAACGAGGUGGGAUCCAUGGCUGUGGUGCGCAGCUGCUUUUAAGCUCUUUAUCGACGAUCCGACACCGCAGACCCCGAGGAGCGAGAGAAGCGGCUUUGGUCCUUGUGGUCUCUCUGUGUGAGCUCCUUCGUUGGUGUACUGCUGCUGCUGCUGUGUGCACGCUUGUUUCCUUGUUUGUGUGCCCUCCCGCCUUCUGUCGAUGUAUAAGAGACAACGAAGGUGGGGGCGAAUCGCAAGAAAAGUGGCAGAUCGGAUCCGUGCAGCUCGCCUUUGCAGCAGUCUAGCUACACCCCACUCGUGCCUGUGUGUGCCACCAGCGGGCGCAGCGACAUCGUUCCGGGCAGCCCUCAUUCCUCCCUCCAGAAAAGACGGCGACGAAAACGUCUCAUGUACAGUGUGUGUGUGUGUGGGGGGGGGGGGGCUCCCGAGACUGCGGCAACUCGACUCGUCUAGCAACGCUCUCACGCGUGUGUGGCACGACGGUGUAACACCGUGGUAUGAGCGCGUGCGUUCUCCACUGAACGCCCGAAGGACGUCAAUUGCCGCCAUCCCUUGUGCCACACG
rnacentral:misc_RNA from 1 species